AAGCCAGUGACCCAAGCGAAAGCAGGGAGCUGUCGAAGGCAGGUCUGAUAACUGGGGUGAAGUCGUAACAAGGUAGCCGUAUCGGAAGGUGCGGCUGGAUCACCUCCUUCUAAGGAA
rnacentral:rRNA from 1 species